CCAAUCCUGCCAGAAUGUCUGGGAGGCCCCUGGGCUUAGCAAAUAUUUGUGCCUCUGAUGUAGUCACUGGCUGCUGGAACGUUCUGUCCUGCUGCUCAUUUGUACAGGCCUCUGCCUCAGGCUGUGAAGGUCCUGGAAGAGGACAAAACUGCAGGGUUGGGACUUCUGGGUCCUUCCCCCAGCUCCCCUCCUGCCUGCUCCUCCCGAUCACUUUGGUCCUAGUUAUUCCCGAAGUUCAGACCCUGCCUUAGGUGCUGUGCAGGGACAGGAGACAUGCAGCUCUAAAGAACCUCUCCGAAGAACCAGGACUUUGGAUCCAAAUGUAAGCUCAACAGUUGUCCUGCUGUGUGGUCUUGGUUUCUUCCCAGGCCCCCAAACACCUGAUACUAUGUAAGAAGAAUUGGAUCCCAAACAUGUUCCAGGACGGUAGCUUUGAACAAACCUCGGUCGACACUGGCAUCGAUCCCCCCUACCUUUGGUGAUUUAUGGAAAAACACCUACUGUUCACCUGACACUCGCCUUUGAUCAGACCCUACCCUGGAUUCCUGAAGGAACGUGUAUCCUGGACCCCCUUCCAAUAGAAACCCCUAACCCCAAGUGGCGGAGAGACUCCCUCCUUUUCUGAGUCCCCCAGAUACUCCCUCAGCUGUGUGCCAUCACUUACGCUAUUCAAUUAAACUCUGCUCUCACUUC